rnacentral:piRNA from 1 species
CAAUUAGUAAAGAAGGACCCAUCGGAU